AUUUCACACUGCCGAGAAAAGCCUCUAGAUAGAAAAUAGGUGCCCGUACCGCAAACCGACACAGGUAGUCAAGAUGAGAAUUCUAAGGUGAGCGAGCGAACUCUCGUUAAGGAACUCGGCAAAAUGACCCCGUAACUUCGGGAGAAGGGGUGCUCUUUAGGGUUAACGCCCAGAAGAGCCGCAGUGAAUAGGCCCAAGCGACUGUUUAUCAAAAACACAGGUCUCUGCUAAACCGUAAGGUGAUGUAUAGGGGCUGACGCCUGCCCGGUGCUGGAAGGUUAAGAGGAGUGGUUAGCUUCUGCGAAGCUACGAAUCGAAGCCCCAGUAAACGGCGGCCGUAACUAUAACGGUCCUAAGGUAGCGAAAUUCCUUGUCGGGUAAGUUCCGACCCGCACGAAAGGCGUAACGAUUUGGGCACUGUCUCAACGAGAGACUCGGUGAAAUCAUAGUACCUGUGAAGAUGCAGGUUACCCGCGACAGGACGGAAAGACCCCGUGGAGCUUUACUGUAGCCUGAUAUUGAAAUUCGGCACAGCUUGUACAGGAUAGGUAGGAGCCUUUGAAACGUGAGCGCUAGCUUACGUGGAGGCGCUGGUGGGAUACUACCCUAGCUGUGUUGGCUUUCUAACCCGCACCACUUAUCGUGGUGGGAGACAGUGUCAGGCGGGCAGUUUGACUGGGGCGGUCGCCUCCUAAAAGGUAACGGAGGCGCUCAAAGGUUCCCUCAGAAUGGUUGGAAAUCAUUCAUAGAGUGUAAAGGCAUAAGGGAGCUUGACUGCGAGACCUACAAGUCGAGCAGGGUCGAAAGACGGACUUAGUGAUCCGGUGGUUCCGCAUGGAAGGGCCAUCGCUCAACGGAUAAAAGCUACCCCGGGGAUAACAGGCUUAUCUCCCCCAAGAGUUCACAUCGACGGGGAGGUUUGGCACCUCGAUGUCGGCUCAUCGCAUCCUGGGGCUGUAGUCGGUCCCAAGGGUUGGGCUGUUCGCCCAUUAAAGCGGUACGCGAGCUGGGUUCAGAACGUCGUGAGACAGUUCGGUCCCUAUCCGUCGUGGGCGUAGGAAAUUUGAGAGGAGCUGUCCUUAGUACGAGAGGACCGGGAUGGACAUACCUCUGGUGUACCAGUUGUCGUGCCAACGGCAUAGCUGGGUAGCUAUGUGUGGACGGGAUAAGUGCUGAAAGCAUCUAAGCAUGAAGCCCCCCUCAAGAUGAGAUUUCCCAACUUCGGUUAUAAGAUCCCUCAAAGAUGAUGAGGUUAAUAGGUUCGAGGUGGAAGCAUGGUGACAUGUGGAGCUGACGAAUACUAAUCGAUCGAAGACUUAAUC
rnacentral:rRNA from 1 species